rnacentral:rRNA from 1 species
GGUUAAGCGACUAAGCGUACACGGUGGAUGCCCUGGCAGUCAGAGGCGAUGAAGGACGUGCUAAUCUGCGAUAAGCGUCGGUAAGGUGAUAUGAACCGUUAUAACCGGCGAUUUCCGAAUGGGGAAACCCAGUGUGAUUCGUCACACUAUCAUUAACUGAAUCCAUAGGUUAAUGAGGCGAACCGGGGGAACUGAAACAUCUAAGUACCCCGAGGAAAAGAAAUCAACCGAGAUUCCCCCAGUAGCGGCGAGCGAACGGGGAGCAGCCCAGAGCCUGAAUCAGUGUGUGUGUUAGUGGAAGUGUCUGGAAAGGCGCGCGAUACAGGGUGACAGCCCCGUACACAAAAAUGCACAUACUGUGAGCUCGAUGAGUAGGGCGGGACACGUGGUAUCCUGUCUGAAUAUGGGGGGACCAUCCUCCAAGGCUAAAUACUCCUGACUGACCGAUAGUGAACCAGUACCGUGAGGGAAAGGCGAAAAGAACCCCGGCGAGGGGAGUGAAAAAGAACCUGAAACCGUGUACGUACAAGCAGUGGGAGCCUCUUUAUGGGGUGACUGCGUACCUUUUGUAUAAUGGGUCAGCGACUUAUAUUCUGUAGCAAGGUUAACCGAAUAGGGGAGCCGAAGGGAAACCGAGUCUUAACUGGGCGUUAAGUUGCAGGGUAUAGACCCGAAACCCGGUGAUCUAGCCAUGGGCAGGUUGAAGGUUGGGUAACACUAACUGGAGGACCGAACCGACUAAUGUUGAAAAAUUAGCGGAUGACUUGUGGCUGGGGGUGAAAGGCCAAUCAAACCGGGAGAUAGCUGGUUCUCCCCGAAAGCUAUUUAGGUAGCGCCUCGUGAAUUCAUCUCCGGGGGUAGAGCACUGUUUCGGCAAGGGGGUCAUCCCGACUUACCAACCCGAUGCAAACUGCGAAUACCGGAGAAUGUUAUCACGGGAGACACACGGCGGGUGCUAACGUCCGUCGUGAAGAGGGAAACAACCCAGACCGCCAGCUAAGGUCCCAAAGUCAUGGUUAAGUGGGAAACGAUGUGGGAAGGCCCAGACAGCCAGGAUGUUGGCUUAGAAGCAGCCAUCAUUUAAAGAAAGCGUAAUAGCUCACUGGUCGAGUCGGCCUGCGCGGAAGAUGUAACGGGGCUAAACCAUGCACCGAAGCUGCGGCAGCGACACUGUGUGUUGUUGGGUAGGGGAGCGUUCUGUAAGCCUGUGAAGGUGUACUGUGAGGUAUGCUGGAGGUAUCAGAAGUGCGAAUGCUGACAUAAGUAACGAUAAAGCGGGUGAAAAGCCCGCUCGCCGGAAGACCAAGGGUUCCUGUCCAACGUUAAUCGGGGCAGGGUGAGUCGACCCCUAAGGCGAGGCCGAAAGGCGUAGUCGAUGGGAAACAGGUUAAUAUUCCUGUACUUGGUGUUACUGCGAAGGGGGGACGGAGAAGGCUAUGUUGGCCGGGCGACGGUUGUCCCGGUUUAAGCGUGUAGGCU